rnacentral:sRNA from 1 species
GGGAAAGGUGCAAUAUCAACAAUCAUGGGGAUAAGUGAAUACAUUUCCCGUGCUGCUCGUCAUCCCGCAUAAUUGUGAUAGUCCCGCGUAUGUCUCCGGCUUCGUGCGGCGGCACACCGUUGGAUCCGCGUUGAUGCAAAAAUGAAGACGAGCGUUCCCAGCAUGCAGUGCAUGCAUGCACACAUAUGCAUCAGAAAACUUGGAAUUCUCGCCUGCAUCCUGUCAGAUUUUGUGGAGCAGAAGAAGGAUCAAAAACCGUAUUUGGAAACUACUAGUACCAAAUCGCUGCGGAAUAUUAAAUGCCCUUGGACGUGGCGCAGGCCCACGGAGUUUUUUUUUUUCAGAGCUGAAAAGCGAGGAGGGAGACUU